rnacentral:rRNA from 1 species
ACAGCAGCCGCCACGGUAAUACGUAGGCGGCAAGCGUUGUCCGGAAUUAGUGGGCGUAAAGGGAGCGCAGGUGGGACGGUAAGUCCGUCUUAAAAGGCAGGGGCUCAGCCCCUGUAAGGGAUGGAAACUAUCGAUCUUGAGUGCCGGAGAGGAAAGCGGAAUUCCCAGUGUAGCGGUGAAAUGCGUAGAUAUUAGGAAGAACACCAGUGGCGAAGGCGACUUUCUGGACGAAAACUGACGCUGAGGCGCGAAAGCCAGGGGAGCGAACGGGAUUAGAUACCCGCGUAGUCCCUGUCUCUUAUACA